GAGACUCUAUCUCAAAAAAAAAAAAAAAACAUAAAAAAAACUAAUGUGGCGCUCCUUGGCCAGCCAGAACCUUGGGGGGCCAUCCUUUGCAAGCAGGGCCAUAGUGACCCACCCCACUCCUGGUGCAUUCCUGAUUCCACUCCAGCUGGGGUCAGUGAGCGCCUGUGCCUGGGAGUCUCCUGGGCGUUGUCUAACCCGCCUUCCUCCUGCUGCCGUUUCAGCCCUGCUGACUGCCUCUGUAGAGAGGCAGCCCAGAUGGCCGCUCCCAAGCUUGCUAGUGCCUUGGCUGAGAGACUGUUGUGGAGCUCUUUGCUGGCUAAUUUACAGACGGUUUUCAAGGAUAGUGCUUAAAAUGUGAGAGGAUUUAUCCAUGGAUAAAGAGCUAUAGGCUAAAAGAUUCUGCAAUUUCCCAGCUAUUUUUGUAUGUUGGACAUGUUAUCCCUUGAAAAGCAACCAGAAAUAAAAAGUCUUUAAGCAUUGUGA